rnacentral:rRNA from 1 species
GACGUAGGUGGCGAACGUUAUCCGGAAUUAUUGGGCGUAAAGGGUGCGUAGAUGGUAUAAUAAGUUAUCAGUGGCAAAUCGAGGCUCAACCUCGUGGAAGUUGGUAAUACUGUUAUACUUGAGUGCAGGAGAGGUUAAUGGAAUUCCCUGUGGAGCGGUAAAAUGCGUUAGAUAUAGGGAGGAACACCAAUAACGGCGAAGGCAAUUAACUAUCCUGCUACUGACAUUGAGGCACGAAAGCGUGGGGAGCAAAACGG